rnacentral:rRNA from 1 species
AGAGUUUGAUCCUGGCUCAGAUUGAACGCUGGCGGCAGGCCUAACACAUGCAAGUCGAACGGUAGCAGGAUGUGCUUGCACAUCGCUGACGAGUGGCGGACGGGUGAGUAAUGCUUGGGAACUUGCCUAGAGGUGGGGGAUAACAGUUGGAAACGACUGCUAAUACCGCAUAAUGUCUACGGACCAAAGAGGGCUUCGGCUCUCGCCUUUAGAGAGGCCCAAGUGAGAUUAGCUAGUUGGUGGGGUAAAGGCUCACCAAGGCGACGAUCUCUAGCUGUUCUGAGAGGAAGAUCAGCCACACUGGGACUGAGACACGGCCCAGACUCCUACGGGAGGCAGCAGUGGGGAAUAUUGCACAAUGGGGGAAACCCUGAUGCAGCCAUGCCGCGCGUGUGAAGAAGGCCUUAGGGUUGUAAAGCACUUUCAGUUGUGAGGAAAGUUUGGUGGUUAAUACCCAUCAGAUGUGACGUUAACAACAGAAGAAGCACCGGCUAACUCCGUGCCAGCAGCCGCGGUAAUACGGAGGGUGCGAGCGUUAAUCGGAAUUACUGGGCGUAAAGCGCACGCAGGCGGUUUGAUAAGCGAGAUGUGAAAGCCCUGGGCUCAACCUGGGAACUGCAUUUCGAACUGUCAGACUAGAGUCUUGGAGAGGGGAGUGGAAUUCCAGGUGUAGCGGUGAAAUGCGUAGAUAUCUGGAGGAACAUCAGUGGCGAAGGCGACUCCCUGGCCAAAGACUGACGCUCAUGUGCGAAAGUGUGGGUAGCGAACAGGAUUAGAUACCCUGGUAGUCCACACCGUAAACGCUGUCUACUAGCUGUGUGUGCCUUUAAGCUGUGCGUAGCGAAGCUAACGCGAUAAGUAGACCGCCUGGGGGAGUACGGCCGCAAGGUUAAAACCCAAUGAAUUGACGGGGGCCCGCACAAGCGGU